AUCACUUCUCGGCCUUUUGGCUAAGAUCAAGUGUAGUAUCUUUUCUAACAGCUGCAUAGUAUUCCAUUGUAUAGAUGUACCAAAGUUUCUUUAACCAGUCAUUUGUUCUUCGCACUUGGGUUUUUUUCCAGAUUCUGGCUACUGUAAACAGUGCUGCACUGUCAUUUGUCAUAAACAGUGCAGAUGUCACUGUCACUAUC